rnacentral:misc_RNA from 1 species
CGAAAAAGCAGUUUUCCUUCAGAAUACGAUGCACCACUUCUCCAUGGAUAUGUUCUUGCUUUCUGAGAAUGCUGAAGGUGCUGCUACAAGAGAAAGGAGCUCAAAAGAUGCAGAUGAAAUGUUCAAAAACAAUACUGAAAGAUAUGAUUCUCAGAGUUCCAUCUUUAUGUCAUCCAAAACAUGCAAUGAACAUUUCAAGGAGGAAGACAACGAUCUAAGCAUAAUCCAAAACGUCUACGAAAGGAAUGUUUCGCUGAAAGAGUUGGAUCUGACCAUUUCAGCUAAGAACAACAAUAUUGGAAAUCACAGUUACCUCCCUGCGCAAGACACUCUAGAGUCCGAAAUUACGAAUUCAUUCUGCACUGACGAAGAGUUAACGCGACAUGACCAAGACAAUGUGCACAGCCAUGACGACGAAGCAUCACCCGGUCAAAGGUCAAAGAGCUCGAAAGCACUAUGGGGGAGACUAACCAUGUGAUAUCGCCCAAAGAGGAGAAGAUUUCUCAAAAUGGCAGCCAGACGACAGAUUCUGCACAGCCUGGCGUCCAUGUGGCAGCAAAGAACGCAGGGGAGGAAACUGCACACGUGCAAUUGUCACCCUUUCCUUACAGUGGGAUCGAAAUUUGUGGCAUUUGCAUCAUCUGUGGAUAUGUUCUUUUUAUGUGUAUCCACAAGAAAAGGAAAUAUUGGAAGAACGAGUCGACGGAAGCUGACUUUACCGACGAAAAGAAACUCCAGAAAAAGAACUAUCCUUUAUGGAAUGCUGAGGAUACCUCUGAAGGCCCAAAAGAUGCUAGUAUUUUUAAAUCCACAGGAAAUUGGCCUUUCCAGAUGGCAGAGUAUGAAAAGAUGAUAAACCUGAUGGCGCCGGUCUUAUUUCAGGGUCCGUACGAAACAUUAUUUGAUGAAACUUUUAUUGUUGGCCCAAAGACACAUGUUCAUACCCUCAUACAUGAAAACGCAAAAGUGAAGACGGCCAGCUUCCAAUCACCGGAGUGGACACAGGAGAUCACAUGUGGAACAUCUGGGUUAGGUGUACUCGAGGUCGAAGUAAAUCCGGUGAUUCCAAGCUUUGGUCGCGUAGCCUCGAAAAACGCAAAUAACUGCAUCAAAAGACAACCCGAGAACGAUGAAAAACAUGACAGAUCAUCGUCUAUACCACCAUCAGCUAACAGCAACAACCCACAGUCUGAUUACAAGGCUGACUUUUCUAUGAGGAUCCCAGAAAAGCGCUACAACAACAUCCCGUUGUCAGAGAAACUAAGAGAGGAAAGAAGACCCAGACCUACCCAAGAGACACUUGAAUAUUAUUUAGAAAAAAAAUUGAAGAGCGGAGGCAGAAAGCCCACAUCUGGCAAUCACCUCACGUCACAUUCCAAAGAGGAGGUAUGGGAUAGUUUCAAGUCUGACAUCGAUGAGUCAGGUGGCCCUGUUGAAGGAAGUGAGCCAAAACAAGAAGAAAGGCGAGAUAAUCGCACUGAAAACUGUACUAAUAAUGGGGCUUAGCGGGGCAGUGUCUGGCGACCAGGGCGCCAGCGCGGACAUACGUGGCUCGAACAGCACCAGUGCAGGGAGCUCCGGGGAUGAUGAUGACGACGACGAUGAGGAUAAUAGAAAUCGCCAGAAACAUGUCGACCACAAGCAGGAAGGAUAUCAACGGAGGAAAAUAAAGAAAAAUCGUCAAGAGGAGGAGGAGGAGGAAAAAGAAAAAGAAGAAGAAGAAGAAGACAACGAUUCCUCAUUCGACAGAGAUGGCAAAACCUGCCAAAGAGAUGACCUCGAUGAUCAGUUCGACGUUUCUAGGCAGCUUGAAGCUGAGCAUCCCAUGUCUAGACAACUGGCGACCAGACAUCCCAUGUCUAGACAACUGGCGACCAGACAUCCCAUGUCUAGACAACUGGCGACCAGACAUCCCAUGUUUAUGUCUAGACAACAAUUCCUGCUUAGACAACUUGCGACCGGACACCCCAUGUCUAGACAGCAGCCGACCAGACACCUUACAGAACUAAUUUUAGCUUCUAAUAGCCCCCUUUGGCUGCUGUUAUUCCGAAACCUAUUUUCAACCAGUUCAAGAUGGCUGCAAAAUCUUAGCAUCAUCACAGUCUCACCCUCGGCAGGACCAUAUGUAGUGUGGAACAACUGCUAUCAAACCACCCUGACCGAACAAUUAAGAGCGAGCCAAAACUUCAGUCAUGCCACUCUCACUGGACUAUUAACAAUAAACCACAACUGUCAUAGCACACUUGGAUUGGAGCGCAUUCACAUUUAUUUCAUCCUCACUGGACAAUGUAGAGCGGGCCAAAACUGCUGUCAUGCCAUCUGCACUGGACCAUCUGGAGUUUGCCCUGUUUACUGGCCCGCCCAACUCGGAUGUUUUUAUUGCGAAAUACUGUGGCUUCUAGUCGGUUGCCUCCAGAGCAGUUUCUGCCCCAUGCAAGAAGAAGAGUUAUCUUGGCACUCGCUGCCGUCUCAAACAUGUUUUCAAUUUCCGUUGGCCGAAGGGUCACAUACCAUCUGGGUCUCUGGCUGGGUCUCCAGAGAGACAGAAAGUUUGCAUGUACUGUGUAUCUUGCCCUCAGUUCCAAGCAGGACGCCUUCCUUGGAGUCCUUUUCACAGUUUCUUGCAAGAGAUUCAUAUCCCCGUAGUUACUCCGGGACUCGGUCUCUGCUGCCUCAUGGCCACAUCUCUAUGGACACAGCUAACUCAGCAAUCCACAAUCAACAAGCUUUAUCUGAAAUGUUGCUGCGUGUUUUGGCCGAAAUAUCUAGAGCAGCUCCUCUAGCAUCUGUGCUAUCCAAUCAAGCUCUAGCAUCAAAUAGUUCCCAAUGUUUUCAAUCAGAAGCUUGUCGAAGAAAUCGUUGUCCGCAGAGAGUGUUAAGGGAAAGCUGUGGGGAGAUUUCGGCCGCACAUUCCUCCCGCCACAAUGAAAGAAGUGUCCACAUGUACAAUUGUGGACAGGACAGUAUCGUCAAUGAAGUAAAUGCCAUAACAGCUGUAGCCAGUCAAGAGGCAGCGAGCCAACAGGCAGUUACUGGAAGACAAAGGACAGCACAACAUGAGGUAACAAGUCUACAAGCAGGUAGCUCUCACCUGGUCCAGCACAGAGAUGAUGAACAAAAUGAGGAAGACCACCUUCAUUUGAUGGGGAUGAUAGUUCUUCUGAUGAUUACGAUGGUGAUGAAGACGACGACAGCGACGGUAGCGAUGAGGAUGAAGCAGAAGCAGAUGAAGAUCCUGGUCCACGCCUGAUACAACAGUUUCGGCAGCCCUGCUUAAGAAUACGCGGUCAAUUUACAGUGAUAACCACCCCAGAUAACGAUGACGAAGAAAAUGGCAUAGUUGCCUGACGAAUUCGAGGAGGAUAACAUCCUUCAUCCUGAGCGCGAGCUUUCCCUGCCUGAGAUUAAGGUCUUCAGUAACUCUCAUAGCCCAACCUGAAGAAGAUGAUGACGUGGACAAUGAAGUUUGGCCUUGAGUAUUCAUCCUGUCCAACAAGAACCUGGUAUCUGCAACUUGUCUAACGGUAGAAAAGGAUUGCUAGAAAAGGAGUAUCACAGACCGAGGUUGCCACACAUUAAACAGACUUUCUAUCAGCUGUUGAAAUGUGAUGUCCAGAGCAGUAAAAACCUCAUUAUUCAAAAAUGUUCAUCUCGCACCUACUGAAGUAAACCUCUUAGUAAAUGGAUAAAUUUUCUUGCUAAUUAUACACACACGAUGGUACACCGAACAAAGAGCCAACACAUUAAAUUAAAAGCAAACAUGAAGUUAAUUCUACAUUUUGUUCUCUCUCGUAAAUGUUUUGAAAUUUUUUGUUAUUAAAGAAACGUGUGAAAAUAGGAUAAAUAGGUUUAUUUACUUUUUAACCAUGUGCUCACAGAAUUGUAGAAAUAUUAUCAGAACUUUCCCCCUUGUGAAUUUAAUGUUGUAAUCGUAAUGUUGGCAGAUUUUUUUUUUAACUUUCUAUGCAUCUUUCUUAGAUCUUGUAAAAAAUUGUUUAAUCUGAAAUAUAAUAUUGAUUGAAUUCAAACUAAUUAGAUAGCAGCAUGCGAGAAAAUGUACCCACCUGUGCUCUUCUACUUAAAUUUUACACCUUUCUGUCUGAUAGUUUAGUUAAUUGUUAUCGCACUUAUUC